UUGGGGAAUGGUUGGUGCUUUGCUCAGCAGUGUGAGGAGUUUUAAUGACUGUUGAAUUCUCUAGCAAGUUGUACAACGUAUGUCAAGUUCUUGAUACGAGACUUGAAUUUUCUGCACUUUACAUUAAAGUCCCACUCCAAUUGUUUUUUUUUUUUUUCAUUUAUUUUUUGCUUACAACUUAAAGUGUUCUCAGUGGUCUUUAAAUUGUGAUCAUGACGUUUUUAGUCAAAAUCACGCUACCUGUGUCAUUUUCAAGGGCUUUUCCUCUGCAGAGCUCCAGUAGCUCAUUAGCAAUUCACCUCUGAGUCGUGGGCAGAGACAGCGCUGCUCUGCACACUCCUCUUCACGCUAGCCUGCAGCCUAACAUUGCCGCUGUAGUAGAAGUAGCUCAUAGAAGUAUAACAUCGGAGCUAUUCAGCUCUCGGACACUAUUGUCUUUAGGGGCAUGAUGAAGGUUAAUAUCAUAAUUAGCUUUCUUACGAGCUUUGCAAACUGCUAACGCACACGCUUGUUUUUUACGAUCAUCCUCUUUAUCUCUCCGAGUCUGGCCUGCAUAGUGGGACUCUGGGGGCGGAGCUUGGAUUUGCUACAUAGGAAAUCUCACUGUAUCUGAACCUGCUGUUUGGGUCUGCCAGAGUCACAGCGAUUUGAAUGCAGAAAUACUCAGAAAUGCAAUUUUUCUAAUAUGUCCUGUAGCAUCAGAAAAAUUCCAUAUGAACAUGUAGACAACAAGAAAAACAUGAUUUUCAUUGGAGUGGGUCGUUAAGUUUUGGUUUUGGUCCCUUUAUAGGAUACAGUGACAGCAUGAAAAAAAAAUCACCAACAGUUUCUUGCAGAGGCGAAGGUCAGUGACCUACUAAAGACAUAGAUGCUUAGUUGACUUUGUCAAAAGUGCUCCUGUCAAUAUCAACAACCCUCCACUAUUUCUGGCUCAAAUAACCACUCUUCAAAUCUUUGAGGGUGAUCCAGAGUGUUCUUUCUCUUUCUGUGGUGGAUGCAGUCUCAGCAGGGAUCUGUUGUGUCAGGAAGCUUUAAACAGCAUCUCUCAAUCUCCAGCAUAAAUAAAACACUGAUGUUCUUACAGGGACUUCAGCCAGCAGCAUUUUAAACAUUUGGUACACCUGAGAAAUGUUGGGAAAUAGACACAAAAUGACUAUUUAACCUGGAAAGGCUUGGCUCAGUGUCACGGCGGAUAUCAUUAAUUCAAGCUAUUGGCUCGUGUUUGUUUGUGCCUCUCCAUGGUAUACUCCCUUUCAGUUAUAACACAGUGCAGUGACAGCUGGUGUACCGGGAGCACAUUGGAUUACAAUAAAAGCAGGAUCAGAAAGGACUGUUUUUCUUAAGGAAGAAAUAGGAUAAUACUCAUCUCUGGGUCUGGUAGCUAGUUUUUACACGGUCUGCAUGAGGCAAAGAUUUUUUUUUUUGUCUGAAUAACAUUCUUAUUAAAGUUGUUUCUGCAGCAGCUGGUUUUAACGCACUCACUCUAAAUGCUAUCAGGCCAGAGAAUAGACUGUUUUCUGCAGCCCGCGUGUGGCAGCUAUUAGAGGAAGUGACAUCAACUGCAGAGCCUCAAUCCUGUGCCACUAAACCCCUUAGUGGAUGAAAUUGGAGGGAGAUGCAAAUGAUUAUCUGUAAUAGUCAUGUUAGGCAGCCCAUUCACACUCAGUCCAGUCCUUGCCAGUUGGCUGUAAUUGCAUCAAUUUAAAAUGAUUUUGUCCUGUUUGCUUGCAGAUACAUAAACACACGUAUGGCUGUGAAUAGUAUCCGUGGUUACAGCUGUGUCUGUGCACUUUGCAGUUUGUAUGAAUGAGUUUCAUUUGGCUCAGUGUGCACCUCAUGUCAGCGCCAUUUUACAAAGCUCUGUAUCUUGGUAACAGCACGUAAAAGGUUGGUUUUUUGCAGCAUCUCUGCUCAGUAACUACUUCAAAAGACAUACAUCAUGGAUAUUCAUCCAGCCCCCUCAGUAAUCACGACAUUUAAGAUUCUGGCACAGUUUCACACACAACUUGGCUUCACAGAUGUAUCUUCUCUGCUCCUAUUCAUGAUCCGUUCUUUUUACUUUGCAUCCAAGCUAGAUUUUGUACCUCCUUUACAGCUUAAAUACAGCAUUUCUGGUAUUUUUAGUUGAAAAUCUGUGAAUAUAUCAGAAGCCCUGGAGACAUAUUUAAGGUGACUGUAUUAUUUAUCAAUUUUAUCCAUUCGGCUUCUUACAAAGGAGACAUUUUCUAAAUUUAAAACUAAGAUUCCUCAUUCAAAUUCAAACCAGACUCAGUAAAUGAUGAAAUAAUUACAGAUGAAGAGGUUUGUAUCCCAAAUAUACAAUAUUAUUCACUUCAUUACUGAGGCUAACAUUGUUGAAGUGAAGGUAGAUUGAGAAAAAGUAUGUGGACACUGUGGUUCAUGCUGACUUAAUCCUAUCCCAAAUACAUUGGGUGUAUCUUACUUUUAUAGAUUGAUUUACCUUUCCUUUAACUGAAUGACUUUGCAGAUCAGUAAUAUUCUGUAAUAUUUUGUUCUCCAUCUCCUCAUUUUUGCUCAUUUGACUCAUAUAACCUUGGUUAUGUAUAUAUCUCCUUUUUUUCUCUCUCUAUGUUUAUUUGUUAGCCAUAGAAAUUUUGUUGUAAUUGGUGACAUGGGUGGAACUUAAGUAGAACUUAAGCUUCAUUCUCUCCUUGCUCCAUCGAAAAUGUUAGUGUGCUAAAUAAAUAUACCUAAACCUAAACCGAAAGACCGUCAUUCAAAACAACCGAACUCAUGUGAAUGAAGUCACAGUCGCAAGAUUUUAACUGAGAGCAGCCAAGUGCAAAAAUGCAAACAGAAAUCUUGGUCCCAGCUUAAAAUGUUAAAAUGAUGCAUGCCAAGCAUUAUUAGGCAGCCUUACAUCUACCAGAGAAAAAAACAAAAAUGAAUCAGCCAGCCCAAACAUUAAGGUUUUUUGUUUUGUUUUGUUUUGUUUUUUUAAGAAAAAAAAACAAAAAAAAACAAAACAAAGGCUAAUGUGGAUGAGAAUGGAUCAGUUAUAAACAAAAAGCAGUUAAUGCCAAAACUAUAGACAGCUGUAGUUCACCACACACUCAAAUGCAUACGUGAAAGUCCUUUGACAUAACUGCGUAUUUAGCGCAUGAAAAUAUUACAUGUUGUAGCGUCUUUAUUUUAUGAGGCCAGUAAAUACAAGACAUAGAAUUAGAAAUAAAAAAUCAGUCUUUAAAGCCUUUCUUAAAGUUAGUUGUUUACAUUUUCACCAUCCUAGUAAUGUGUAGGCAACAAUUUUGUAAUAUUUUAGGGAUUUUAUUGGUGUUUUCGUAUAUAUUAUCCUGUAUUUUUUUCCAAAAUUUUAUGAUCAAUCAUAUUAUGUUAAACAUAUGAUAUAAUUUCUGAUUUGUGCAUUUUAAAAUGUUUUAUAAUAUAAUAAGUACAAUGGGAUAAAAAAUAAUUAAUAGACUGGGUGUUAUUUCAUGUAUUGACAAUGUCUGACUUAUAUCAUGCAGUGAUAUCAAUGUUAAGUUUCAGUGUGGCAUCAGAGUCUCAACAAAAAACAGGGACAGCCUUAGUGAGAAGGUUAUCCUUGGUUUCACUGUUGGUAUAGAGAAUCAACUCCUAUUGACAUGCGGUUUUGACCAACUGAUAAUUAUUAUUAUUUUUUUUGUAGAGAGCUUUGUGGGAGUCUUGACUUGAGAUACGUGAAAUAAUGAUGAGCAAAACAGUAACAAUAUUGACUAUUUCACUGGAAUAAUACGCAACAUUCAUUCAUAUGAAAAUAAAUCAAAGUUGUAGGUCUGUAUUACUCCAUUUUGUCCACAGAUAUGAGGCUAAGGUUGACUUAAGUCAUUGUAGAUGAUUGGCUCAGUCAUGAGUGGAAGUUUGUGAUGUGAUGUGAGUAGGGCACAGAUUUGUGAACUAAUAUUGGUCCUUUUGGGGCAACACUAAAGCAAGUCUUGAAUGUCGAUCAGCUACUGUGGAAUGUAUUUUUCUCUAUGUAGCCCUGGUGGACCCCCUGCCCCCAACCCUUACCCCGCCUAUAAACAGCUGUUUGAUUAGAGCUGCCCUCCACUGCAUCACCAGGCUUCUUCCCUCUAUGUUGUGUUUGUGUUGGCUGGUCUUGCCACACAUCUGGCAGGGUGUUUUUUAUUUUUUUCCCCCCACUUUCAUCAGGGCCACUAACCCUGAGGAUCUGAGAGCCGCUUUCUCUGUAUUAUUCAUUUCAUUCACGUUGCUGUUUAGCCGAGAGGCAGAACGAGGACCCUUCAAAAGCGGCCCAGAAUGACCGGCUAUUUUGUCAGCACUUAAUUGCAUCGGUACAUUUAGAGUGCCUGCAAAAUGUUUAAUGCAAGGAGCUGAACAGGUGUAAUUACUGUUCAUUUGACGAGUUGUAAGAUGAUAGUCGUCGUGUAAUGUGUUAAUGUACUUCAGAGGAAAGCAACCGGCAUUAGCAUUUCUACCACAGGCUUAUUUUGGGCCUCAGUAUGACCAUCAGCAUCUCUGCCACGCUCAUAUCCUCAUUUUCAUCAUCAGAGCUGCUAUCAUCAUUAUCACAACAGUUUCUGCAAACUGAUGUUGGAGACUCUGCAGUGCUCCAAACAGCAUAAUUACCAGUGUGCUGGAUUUACUAAACAAAACACCUUUGGAAAAAACUCUGCAGUAGAUGUUUUUCCCCCUCUGUCUUUAGCAGGAUUCAAACCAUGUAAUGCUUACUUUCAGGGCAACAUUGUGGGCAAUUUUCUUUAUGAUGUCUACAAUGUUUAAUGUUUGGACAACUGCACUGCAGUGAGGCUUAAUUCCUGUCAAACAAAAUCCACACCUAGUUUUCACUGCACUUCAAUUACUAUGUGACUUAUAGAACUGUGUGGAUCUAUGUAGGCAUUUUUGAUGAGCGCUCUUUCUAUGAAUCCAUCCUCCUGCAUAAAUGGGAGAGCUAUACAAAACAGCACAGUAUGAUGAGAUGGGUCUGUCAUGACAAUGAGGAUGUACAUUGUUCUUGACACAUAUUGGUUCUUUAAUACUAUAAAGCAGAUGAGUACUAAGACUUCUGGUCAUAUCUUUGAGGUAGGCAUUAGAAAAGAUAAUAAGAUGGUGAUACAACUCCAUAUCCAAAGAAGGUGUGUGAAAUGUUCAUAAAAGGAGAUUUUGACGGUUUUCAAAUCAUCAAUGAAUUCCAGAUCGUGCAAAAACAAUGCAUCAAAUGUUGAAACCAUCAGACUCUUCUGUUUCAUGAUGCUCUUUUCAAAAUGCUCUUUUGAUGCCUGCAGGGACAGGUUUACUUUUGUGUUGCAUCACCUCUUCUUUUAACAACACUGUAAAUGAUUGAGAGCGGUGAAGACUAGCUUCUGGAGUUUUGAAAGUGAAAAGUUGUCUUGUGUCCCAAUUCAAGGGCUGCAGCCAACAAAGCCUCCUCCAAAUGCAGUUGACUGCC
rnacentral:lncRNA from 1 species